rnacentral:rRNA from 1 species
GAAUUGACGGGACCCGCACAAGCAGCGGAGCGUGUGGUUUAAUUCGUUGCUACACGAAGAACCUUACCUGGGUUUGACAUAUAGGUUGUAGGGAACUGAAAAGGGACCGACCCUUCGGGGAGCCUAUACAGGUGUUGCAUGGCUGUCGUCAGCUCGUGUCGUGAGAUGUUCGGUUAAGUCCGCUAACGAGCGCAACCCUCGUCGUAUGUUAUAUGUGUCAUACGAGACUGCCGGUAAAAGCCGGAGGAAGGUGAGGAUGAUGUCAAGUCAGCAUGACCUUUAUAUCCAGGGCUACACACACGCUACAAUGGUCUGUACAAUGGGUAGCCAAGCCGCGAGGCGGAGCCAAUCCUGAAAGCAGGCCUCAGUUCAGAUUGCAGUCUGCAACUCGACUGCAUGAAGCCGGAGUUGCUAGUAACCGCAGGUCAGCAAUACUGCGGUGAAUACGUUCCCGGGUCUU